CAGCCGCCGCGGUAAAACCAGCACCUCAAGUGGUCAGGAUGAUUAUUGGGCCUAAAGCAUCCGUAGCCGGCUCUGUAAGUUUUCGGUUAAAUCUGUACGCUUAACGUACAGGCUGCCGGGAAUACUGCAGAGCUAGGGAGUGGGAGAGGUAGACGGUACUCGGUAGGAAGGGGUAAAAUCCUUUGAUCUAUUGAUGACCACCUGUGGCGAAGGCGGUCCACCAGAACACGUCCGACGGUGAGGGAUGAAAGCUGGGGGAGCAAACCGGAUUAGAUACCCGGGUAGUCCCAGCUGUAAACUAUGCAAACUCAGUGAUGCAUUGGCUUGUGGCCAAUGCAGUGCUGCAGGGAAGCCGUUAAGUUUGCCGCCUGGGAAGUACGUACGCAAGUAUGAAACUUAAAGGAAUUGGCGGGGGAGCAC
rnacentral:rRNA from 2 species